rnacentral:lncRNA from 1 species
CGGUGGGGGUCCAGGCGGGCGUUUGUCCUUCCCUACAAGUAAACAGAGCUUCAGGUGAGCGCUUGUCCCCGUUUAAGGGGUGCUGAAGGAAUGUUGGUCCCUCACAAGCAGUACACUGAAAUUCAAGGCCAGAUUGGGCCUUCAGUUUUCUUUAAGCAGAACUCCUCAUUAAAGUCAGUAAAGAGCUCUGUUUUGAAAUCAAUGGCACAUUAUGGCCCCAAGUGAGCACUUAAGGGAGAACUAUAAUUCCUUUCUAUUCCAUGGACUAACUAACUUCAGGAAAUAAAACAUUUUUUUGAGGAUUUUUUGUUUUUCUUUUUGACUUGAAUGCUGGUUCAGCUUGAAUAUAAAAAGACAGAAAUAGAGCAAGAUGGUUGGUAAGAUUUGUCCUUGGGUCACACUUAUGGGAGGGGGCAGGGGGGGUAGAAAAGAAAUCCCUCGGUUUCCAAUCAGUAAAUAUUGAAAAUUGCCCUCUCUGUGUGGACGGGCUGGUGGUGCGUCAAUUUCAAUGUAAGACGUGCAGUGUCUAUUCACUGUAGCCUUGGGUGCCCCCCCUGUCCCCCAGACUUAAACGAGACCUGCAGCAGGCUCCUGCCUGCGACACUUUGAGUUUCUGCUAUUUCAGCAAUAGGCUCCCAAAGCCAGGAUAAUGUGAACGGGAGAGGCUUAAAACAAACAAGCGAUUGAGGGGUCCAAAUCGCUCUUUCAGGCACACGCAGCUAAACCUUCCUUCGCGGGAGAGGGCGGUGGUUUUUAAUCUCGCCUCCGAAUUCCUCCCGAGCGGGGGGUCUCCCCUCGGCGAGGGGCGGGCGGCAGAGGUGAGUGGCUCUCCUCGCCCCGCGCGAGGGGAGUGGGUGGCAGAGAGGGGAGGACAGGCGAGUUGCGUAGCAGGGCGAGGUGGGUUUCCAUGCUCGGCAAUUGCGCACGGUCCCUUACGUAACCGUCAGCUGGGGAUUCCCUGGAGGGGGUCACUUUAUUCAACCAUUACACAGACCCCGGCCGCCGCCGCUCCGCCGCGCCCGGGGCCGCCGCCGGCUGAGGCUGAGGCUGCGGCUCCGGCUGCAGGCAGCGCGGCGGCGGCUCCUCACAAAAUGGCGGCGCCCAUGGAAGCGGCAGCAGCCCCAUUUUGUGCCCGGCAGAGCCUGUCAACAAAACGCCGACUUGGCCAAGGCUGAGGAACAGAAGGCGGCGGCUUCGUUCGCGUUACGGCGCGGAGGGAGGAGAGCGGAGGAUUUCACCGCCCUCCCGCCGCCGAGAGGAGACUUUUCUACAAAUGCGUGCCUUAUGAAUAAACCGGCUAUUAGGCUGAUGCUUCAAGUAACACUAUCCAGCACCAAGCUUGCUUCUUUAGCGUGUACCUGGAAUAGAUGGAGAUCCCAUACGAUAUGGCUGAGAAGCUAUAUUUGUAUUAUACCACCUGUUUGGCUGUUUUUGUGGUGAUGGGGGCUCCCCUCUCCUUUGAGGCAGAGAAAGGGUUUAUGAAUUAAGGCUUUUUUUUUCCUGAUUUACCUGAUUUAAUAUUGCAUGCGUUUUAAUGAUGCCUAAAUAAAAGUGUUAACCUAUUUCA